UGCAAGUCCGACGAUGAAGNNCUUCCGGGGUGGAUUAGUGGCGAACGGGUGAGUAACACGUGGGUAACCUGCCCUUGGCUUUGGGAUAAGCCCUGGAAACGGGGUCUAAUACCGGAUAUGACCAUGUCACGCAUGUGGUGUGGUGGAAAGUUCCGGCGGCCAGGGAUGGGCCCGCGGCCUAUCAGCUUGUUGGUGGGGUGAUGGCCUACCAAGGCGACGACGGGUAGCCGGCCUGAGAGGGCGACCGGCCACACUGGGACUGAGACACGGCCCAGACUCCUACGGGAGGCAGCAGUGGGGAAUAUUGCACAAUGGGCGAAAGCCUGAUGCAGCGACGCCGCGUGAGGGAUGACGGCCUUCGGGUUGUAAACCUCUUUCGACAGGGACGAAGCGAGAGUGACGGUACCUGUAGAAGAAGCACCGGCUAACUACGUGCCAGCAGCCGCGGUAAUACGUAGGGUGCGAGCGUUGUCCGGAAUUAUUGGGCGUAAAGAGCUCGUAGGCGGUUUGUCGCGUCGACUGUGAAAACUGGGGGCUUAACUCUCAGCUUGCAGUCGAUACGGGCAGACUUGAGUUCGGUAGGGGAGACUGGAAUUCCUGGUGUAGCGGUGAAAUGCGCAGAUAUCAGGAGGAACACCGGUGGCGAAGGCGGGUCUCUGGGCCGAUACUGACGCUGA
rnacentral:rRNA from 1 species